AUGUAAGGGCCACGCUUACGAUAUUUUUCGAGCAUCGCAGACGUAUGAGGUGUCGGUUAUGAAGUCUAGUACUUUUUUCCCGUAGCGGCUUGUUUAUCAGCGACAUUGUUUUUCCGCUGGGCGUUUGUCUGUUUAUUGUAGUGAUGUUUGUCGCGCGAUGGUGGUUGUGCGCCAUUUCGACUCGCUACUUGAGAAUAGGUCGUGCUUGGGAUUCGAGCGGCCAUUUGUACCCCUCAUAAACGUUGGGUUACACCUCCUAACCGCAAUUAUAGCCCUUGUCAGCAGUUCUAAAGACCACAUCUGUAUCUAGCUGUUCCGGCCUUGCAGUUCAUUCUACCUCUUAUCUUAGGGCGUUUUCUUUUCUUUAAUUUGCCUGUGGAUAGUUCUGAUCAUGAGGUAGGUAGUUCGCGAGCGAAUUCGCAAGCAUCCGACGUUGGUCUUCUGAAGCGUGCUCGGUUCUUCUUUCACUUUAACUGACAUUUUGAUCGCCUUAAAACCGCGUAGAUAAACUUUACGCGCCAGCCUAGUGGGCAAACGAUUAGAUUCAUGAGUUAAAAAUUGGUAUUUCCUCUAAUGGCGGCGGAAAACACGAGCUGCAAGGUUGCUGCCUGCAAGGCCCCAGACUUUCCGGGAAAUGUACUUACGUUUGAAGGAAAGGCUUGUUCUCGAAUUUUUGCAAAGAGGGUAGCCAUGACUAAAGCGCCUUACUGUAUUGGAGCUUACAAAAUGCCUUGUCUGUGAUGGUUCGGUUGUUCGAAAACGCAGGGGAAAAUAACAUUUUUGGGCCAUUAUUAAUUUUCUUGUCUGUUGCUGUUACGUGCGUGAUUAAUAAUCUUAAACUUGAUUAUCACGGUAAGACGGUGUCCGUUUUUAUUGUAGUCUGCAAGCGUCGUAAAACCGCUGCUUUUAACUUUUUGAGUGUAGGUUGGCAGCUGCAAAAACCGACAUGGCCUUGUUUCUCAUUGAAUUGGGACGAGGUCGUGCAGCAGAAACAUCAAAAAUGGGCUGACGUAGAUAGCCUUUCUAAUCCUGGUACGUUAACUGUUAUCGUCACAGCCCAGAUAGUUUCUGCGCAUCAGUUCUGUGGUUUUCUCUAUUUUUUUUUUUUUUUAGGUUAAGGUAAUACUAGCGGCGCCAGUGCUGCUGCUACUUAGUGCUGUAGCCAUUAAAGUCAUGUGUUCCACCCUGAGCCAGUGGGCUGCUGUUACUUAUUUCCCGUAGCCUGCAAACUUUAAUGCAGGAUGCAUAAAAUAAAUCUUACAUAAGUUGUUCUGUGUAUUAUGGUUAUUUUAAAUAUGCCCUCAUGCUGUACUAUUAGUUCAUUACAUGUUAAAACAGAGGGGGGGGGGGGGGAGAGAAUUACAUUAUUAGUCCCAUUGGUGAAGGUGACAUUUGACCUUGUUUUGCUUUUUAGAUAGCUGUUGUAAUUCAAAAAUAAGUACCUCAGAAGUUAUGCUCUUGCAAGCUGUGCACCUGAAUCCACUGGACAAGCUUGCAGUAAUAUAUAAAUAAGUGAUGUGGAAUAUGGAUGGCUUGCACUGACGUCAUUGUGGCAGUCAUGGAGGCAAGCCACUAGCACAGUGAAAGGCUGCACAUUGAUCCAGUCUGCUUCUUUCGACCUAUCUACUGCUGCACAGUGAAGAUUUUGAAUGGUUAAGUGAUUAGAUUGUGUCCUUGAUUUCGUGUGCAAGCAGUCUAUUUAUUGCCCAGUACUGGGUGUGUCACUCGGGAGUGGCGGCAUGUGGCCUUCACUAAUAACAGCUAAUCUUGAUGUCAUUGCUGCCGUGUUGUAGGACCAUUAGCAAAGUGAAGAGUUGUUUGUCAUGGAAACUUGUGACAGACACUGACUUUGAACAUCGGCUUAUUGAUAUAGCUAAUUGUCCCACAUAUGGACUCAACAAGAAUGCCACGAAUCGUUGAAGCAAAUAUAUUGAACACAAUGACUUCUUUUCAUCCCUGCUUAGCCAAAGAGUCAAGGCGUGAGUUUAGGCAUGAAGACAUGAACAUUGUGACUAAUAUGCUACUUCAAAUUUAGGGGGAUGACUGUAAUCUGUCCACUGUAGUGGCCUUAAAAGUGCCAAACCCUAUUGAGUUUUAUCCUGACUGCCAAGUACAUUUGGCCAUGAGGUCAAUCGGUGAACCCAGCAGUCACUAUCAUUUGCUCUGUGCACAUUUGGAUAAGCCCAAGCAGAUUGCGUCAGCCAUUUACAAGUCUUGCAUCAUACGAAUAUCAUGACAACUGCUAUCAAGUGUUUACUAUAUUGCCGAGUUUGAGAACCUCUCUGCAAGAAUCCAAAAUUUUAAUACGACACAUUCAGUAUUGGGGAGACAACACCCGAUCUGGAUUUAACUUGCAGGACAUGUGUAAUGUCCGUAUAUAAUUUUUCCUAGUGUGCCAUAAACAUGUAGAUAAGUGUAUGCUUGUAUUUGUCCUUUCUUCUUUCUGUGAUGGAAAAGCCAUCCAGAAGCUAACCAGGCAUGGACUGCUUCUGGGAUUGCGGCCAACCCACAGAUGACGAUUCUGGGGCCGUAUUCUGUAGCGGUUCGCUUCAGAACCGGUUCGGUCUGGCUGUUACGUCUGGAUUACAUCACUCGGAGAAAGAGUGGAACGGGGCGGUGUGAGGGGAACCAAUCAAUGAGCGGCGGUCUGCUGGAAGAUCACAUCUUUAUUUUUGUUUGUACUUGGGGGCUGGUAUAGCAAUUGAAGGAUGUUGCUGGUUUGAUAAAAAAACAUUGGUUUGUAUAGAACACUUGCAAAUAUAAUUUUCAGUAAUAAAUGUGAGCUUGCGGCGCAGACGGCUACUGGGAGUUGUAAUUUUAUAUGUGUUUUCUUAUUUAGUCGCUAGGUGGUGUGCCAUACGUUGUGCAAACUUGCCUCGCAUUGUUUACGUUUUGGACUUCUUCGUGCGCCGAAACCGAAAUGAUGUCGUCGCGCAAGGACAGGCGGCUGGGUCCUCAUGUUUCAGCGAGGCAGUGCGAAAUACUCGUUUCAUUUGUCGAGGAGCACCCUUACCUAGCAAAGGCGUCAUGUGUGUUGGGCCAGCAGCUGACGGCAGCUUUCUGUUGCGCCGUGGAUGGGAAUCUAACCCAUCCUUUUUCUUUGCCCACAACCGUAAUGGCCUUGGCGACGGCUGUAAUGAUCUGGCUGACCGAAGGCUGCGACAGUGCAAUCGCUUCUUCAUUCCCGACGCACUGUUGAAAGCGCCCGGUGGCAAAAAACUGCAGCGCGCACAGCACUUUCAUCGUAGUGUCGACACCACGAAAUCUUUGAGGUCCGAGAUGUUUUUCCAGCUCAUCGCAAAGACGUCGCACUGUCUUUGGAGAGCCUAAAAUGCCUUCGAAACUCUUCUUCGGCCAUGCCGAACGCGUAGUCUUUCGGUGCUGGCCAGCAGGACAACCAAAGGAGCCGCCAUUGCCGUCUCUGUCUCGUCUAGUCUAGGUGCCGGCUCGUCAGCUGGCGCGAGACUAGCCGACAGCCACGGUUGCCCUAGCAACCCUCGACAUAAUGCUCGCCACCGCGCGCGACCCUCGAGCGAACCACUUCUCCGCGGUUCCUCUUGUAGCAGGGAACCGGUUCCUUUCCAGAUGAUUCCCAACCUGUGUGACGUCAACAAAAUUUUUCGUCCUGCCCACCAGGGAUGACGACAACGAAGCGCCGACCAAUGGCAACAGCCAGACCAAACCGGUUCCAAAGCGAACCGCUACUGAAUACGGCCCCUGAUUAAUAAGUCAAUGCUAUACAGUAUAUCUGUCUGCAUUUUCCAGUAGUUGAGAGAGAAGAAAAACAUUGAGGUUUUAUUGGGGGGCAAGGACAUAGCGUAGUGCAGCCUGCUAUCAGUACCUGAAUUGUGUAAAGUUGGGGCGCGAUAACGUAACUCUAUUCCAAACAAAAGGUAUUCCAAACUCCGGACGUCAAAAUGACGCGACUGUUUCUGCGUACGGGGGCGGGAACCUGCGACGUUUUUCAAUCUGCCCAGUCAGCAGCCUCCAUCGUUGCCGGAAGCAUGUUUUGCUUGUUUUUUACUUGCAAAGGGACCGUAUAGCAACUAACAUUUAGAUAUUAACGCCUAAUAAAAGAACAAUUGUAUGUCGCUGAGAGUAAUUGUUUUGUAAUCUUUUGACGCAAGAUAAGUUGAAGCGCGCUUGAAAGUAAACACAAAUAUUUUAAUUUUUCUAGUCAUAGCCACACAUGCGCCAAUUCCGCAUCCAAUCCAUUUCGCUACGCACACGUAAGAUGGCGGCUGCGUGAAAACAGCUAAUCGGUUCUGUGGGCCGCACUUGGUGCAUUUUUGCCCGUAACGCUGCCUGAUUAGAUGAAAUCUCGGCGUACGAGAUGUACUUUAGCCCCAGAAGAAUUUUGGAAGCUGUGAACAUCAUGAAGACUGUGAAAGCGUAGUGCUCGGAUACUGAAGAAUUGAUGAAGGUUGGAAGGCAUCUCAACAGAUAGCUGGUAAGUAAACGUUUUCUAUGAACGAUCGCAACUAUCUCCGAAUGUAGGUCCUGAUUUAAAUCGAAGGUGGUCUGUAACGGAGGCUCAUUUCUUUUUUUUUUUUGCCACGCACUGCUGCGCAGUGAUACAUUCCCCCGUGCGGGCGGUACAGAUACUCCGCCAACCCGCCAACAGCCGCUGGAGGAUGCGGCCUGCAGGGCAGCCGCUGAGUAUGCGCGGCAGGGGCAGCUGGCUGAGGCAGCGAACGCAGAGGCCGUCAGUUUCCACCAGCUGCUGCUGCAGCAAAAUAGGCAGCAUCAUCAGCAGCUGGUGGAGGAACUGAGGGCGACCCGGGUGGUGCAGCAGCAGCUGGCAGCAGAGAUGCAUGGUUUGAGAGAGGCCACUGGCCUCAUCGUGACAACACUGUGCCAGCUCCUGGCUCGCCUCUGCGAGCAGCCUCAGCCAUGAGGGACAGUUCCCUCUCCCCUCCCCCCCCCCAUAUCAUCCUUUAGUACUAGUAGGUACAAGUGUUGUCUAUUUUUCCGUUCAAAUCACCGCUGCAGCAUUUGGUGGUGAUGCCCAUACGUCCUCGAAAGCUGUUGUGCCGAGUUGUAGCCAGUCUUGUGAAAUUAUGUGCGACCAUGGCAGCGAAAACUGAUAGUGCUGUGAUGUCACUUGAAACACGAAUGCAUGUUUUUUUUUUUUUUUUUUGUAUGUAGCACUAAAGGAUGAUGUGACUGUUUUCCCUACAUUUCUGUCCCUAAUCAUAUUUUUCUUUUUCAAGGUAAUUUCUCUUCAUGUGUGUUUUCACUUGCAGUGUAAGUUUGCCCAAAUGAGACAUUAUAAAUUAUAUGUAGAAUUUUUGCCAUAUUUCCGUUAGGUGUUGUUCACUUUUGUUUUGCUAUUACUGAUGUUUCAAUGCACACCUUUUUUCCAAGGAAGAUAUACACUAUGCAAUCACUUUUACAGCAACUUCGACAUUGUCUCGCACACAUACAGGUGCACCUUAACUACAAUGCUGUGAUAACUGGAAAUGAAUUUUCAUGCCAUAUGUAUGUCAUGUUUGCAAUGUCAAACCUUUUGUGCCUACGCAAUGCAAAGUGGCCGAAUUGGAAUUUUUUUUAACACCAAGCGCCUGUUACUUGCGAUAGUUAUUGUGAUAUUCCAGGUGUCCUUACCUAUGAUAGCAGUACAAUCUAGUCCCCAUUGUAGUUGAGCACAGUUUGUGACAUACAUAAUGGAACCAUCGAUGUGGCCACUAUUUUGACAUUCGCUGCCAGGCUGCUCUUGCAGCUGUUAUAUGAAAUACCGUUGAAGUGCCAAGCAUUUUCUCACUUGUCGUUCCUUAAAAGCACGUGAUGGCUUUUUUAUAUUGCGAUCUUAUUACGGCACUAGUCAUUGAAAAGAAACUAUUUCGUGCUACAAACAUGCUCACUACAUAAUAGACAUCUUUCUUGCUGUUAAGUUGCUGGAUGAAGAUAAAUGGUUGUGCGCGAGUUCAAAAAAACAUCAUUAUGCUCGUGUCAUAUUUAUGCAAUUUAACAUCUGCCAACGACCCAUUGGUAGUGUACUGGGCCCCAUGUAGUGAACAUCACACGGCUAUUUUGGCGCCAUGAAGUCAUGCUCUGUGUACUUGUCUGUCAUUUGCUUUGAUGAAAGAUGGCAUUGAAGAUGGAUCACAUGGUUUUAUUUACAAUGCAGAUAUAAAUAAAUGAUUUUAAACAAUGCAAGUGGCACUUGAAAUGAAUAUUUACAAUUUGUGUACCUUCAAUUUCAGAACUAUUUACGUAUGUACGCUCUCCCAAGGGAGAAUAAUGUGCUUGACAUGCCAGGGGAUCGUUUUCGGCAUAACUUGGCCUUAUGUCAAGGAACUGUGCGGUGGCUGUGUGGCAAAACAGCGCAGGGCCUACAAGGUGCGUGAGAACAGUACACGUGGUUGAGCAAUAAGUGUUGUGCUUGGCAGCAGCCCAAAUAGGAAGCGAGGAGACAAAGACCAAUAUGCUCCCAUGCACAGUGCAGAUGGCGGUGACAGUGUCUGUGAUGACAGAAGCAACAGCAGCAGCAGCAAAUCAUUUGGCAAACCCCAGCUGCCCAGAGAAGUGGCUACAACAUUCUGCUGAUGAACACAGUGUUCUAUCCACAGGUACUACAUGAAAGGCUCUCAUGUAGUGUCACAGUGGAAUGAUGCAAUCAUCUCCGGUAGUGACAGCUCACUGGCAGAGGACACGUGAAAACGCUGGUUAUGAUUGAGCAGAUUCGAUAAAAAAACCACACGCUAUCCACUAAUUGCACACAUUUCUUCACAUUGGUUCCUGCUCUCUAUUAGGUGUGUAGACAGCAGUAAUAAACAUCUGCCUGCAGUGUCAGGCACGUGUUUAUUGCUGCUGCUGCCGUGUCGUGCCGAAGGAGCUAAUAACAUUAUCCCAGGCAGCGCAGCCUUUCAAGUACAUUAUGCGUGCUGCCCUCACUCGGGGAACUCUCUGUGGGCAGGGGUUGCCGCUUUCAUCGUCACUACUUCUGCUGCUGCUGUCAUCACUAACAUCAUCCAACAUGCCACCUUCGUCAAGACACAAGUUGUGCAACACUGCACAUGCUGCAACGAUGUUGGCAGCACUGUCUGGUUCGUAGUGGACGGCGCGGUACCGCUGAAGGCAGCGAAAGCGGCUCUUCAGAAGCCCAAUACACCGCUCCACUACGGACUGCAUGGCAGCAUGUGCAGUGUUGUACCUGCCUUCUGCAGUGUGUAUGGGCCUGUGACUGGGGUCAGGGAGCCAUGGUUCCAGGGGGUAGCCACUGUCAUCUGCAGGAUCAUAAAACAUGGUACGAGAUCUGCACAAAGUUCAGUAGGCGAAGCAUGGGUCAUGUAAUAUGCACCUACUACAGAAAGGCUGCAAUAAAGGAAUAUACAGGCUGAGCACCUGACGCAGCUGUGAUCACAGAUAACAAUAGCUGGGACAUAGUAGCAUCCCUAUUUGCAUCAAGGCAGCUCUUUGUGUAGUCUUCAUUCACAACUGACUAUCAGUGUAAAAAAGAAUGUGACAACGCAUGCACUGUACACUCACAUUAAAAUUUUGUUUAAAGUACAGCGCAGGUGUGUUGUCACUUUGUUUCGUGCAGAUACCAUUGGAAAAUUUCUACAUCUCGCCUAUACUUAAUAACCUGACUAUAACAUAAGGGGUUCGGGCUUCAAUAUUCUCCUACGGCGCGAGCACGCUUUGCUGCAUGCUGCCAGAAUUGCAACUGUACAAAAUUUUCCCUCUGCUCACCGAGGAGGUGUUCGCCAGCCUUGGCAAUAUGCCCCUCCAGGAACCGACGACGCAACCACGUAGUUCUCCAGACAUGGGCGUCGUGGUCUGACCCCGGUCGCAGAGCGUCGACGGCGAGGAUCCGCAUGCCUGCGUCCCAGAUCUGACGAGAGCGCGCACAGCAUAAGCCACGCGUUGCUAUGACGGGCAAAUUAGACAAAAAUUAAGAUACUUACGAACAUUGUGUUGAGGGCGUAGUAGCCUUUGCGGCACAUGAAUGCCGCCUUCUGCUCGCCCUUCGGUGUGAUGAUGGCUAUAAGGCUGCCGUCCACGCAUCCGAUGACGCCGGGAAUGGAGCCACGUCGAAGGAACCCUUCCUUCACAGCCGCCUUCUCCUCCGACGUCCUCGGGAAAUGGACCCACUUGUUGCGGGCUCCGGCAUGGACGAUUGCCUCCGCCACGCGUCGCACACACUUGCUGACCGCAGGCUGGGUCACGCUGAUCGUCUCCUCGCUCCCUACCGAGGCUUGAAAGCUGCCCGUUGCGAAGAAUCGCAACGCACUUGUCGCUCCACCGACAGCGCCGUUUUUCUCACGCCUCCGAGUUCCUCUGCCACUUCGUCGCACAGCCACCACAGUUUCUUCAGGCGAAAGUGCCGCCGAAACUGAUCGUCUGGCAUGUCAAACGCAUCCUCGGGCUCCCUCCUCCCGCGCCCGGGCUGAUGAGCCGCCGCCGCCAACGCAAUCAAGAAGGCCACCAUUUUUUUCUAUUCCAAACGGAACGGGGCACUCACCGGUCAAAGUGACGGUAAACGUCACUUUGACGUGGCAGUUUUUGAGCAUUCCUGACGUCGCUUGACAGGCAGGAAAAAUGGGCGCGGCUUCAAAAAAUUUGACCAAUGAGCGAGCGGUGUCAGCCAUUUUCGAAUAGAAACAGAACGGAAUAGCAUUACGUUAUACCGACCUUGGAUUAUGUGCCGGAGCGUCUGUUAAUUUUAUUUCGUAGUGCCGCAGAAUUUUGGAAGGUUGUAGUAUUUACAGUACAGCACUUGUUCUGGUUUUAAGAUUUUGCACGCUGCAUGAGCAUAUAGGGUGUUUUUCCUUUCUGAUAAGGGUCAGAUUUUGCUUUACAUACUAUCAAAAAAAUAGGGCACAUGGUAGCUCCUACAGAAGAUAAACAGUCAUUAAACCCUGGUAGCAAAUUUUAAAGCACACACAUACAUUUACAAUAUAAGAAGCUCCAUUCACAUUAGUAAGGCUGUCGAAUUUACAUGAAGGGAGAUACUUGAGACUAAUGCAGCAAGUCAUGCACAUGGCAAAGCAAACAGAUAUCUUGUAAAUCAGCAGCCUUUAUUUGGUUUGAACAUGUGAUGGAAUUGUGUCAGAUUUUGAAAUUUAUCGGUAUGUAUUUAAAUUUUAUUUUUUGAUCUCACACAGACAAUGUGCUCACUGUAUUGCAUUGUUCGAAUCAGUCAGAUCGUUAUUGUUUGCCAUCUACAUCUAGGAAAUGCAGCUUCAUUAUCUGCAUAAUUUGAUGCUGCAAGUAUUUUCCUAGCCUAACUUGCCAGCAUUAUUGUUGGUCCAUCAAUCUCUGUUGCAGCUCGUUUUAUUGUCCAUACAAUGCAGGGCAUUCAGGAUCAGCGCCAGCUUUUAUUAGCCUGCAUAAGAAGUGUAUUGUGUUGCGUAGCCAGGUCACAUUCGCAUGUGCUCCAUGCGAAAAAUUAUAUGCAAUGUGAGCUUGCUUCUUUUUUUUUUAUUUAUUUAAUGCACUGCUUGAUCUGUAUCUAGGUUCUUGUUGACACACCUGCUACAGCUGGUCUUUUUAGCACAGCACAUAAUCUUGAUUGUUACAUUGUUCCAUCUUGGCAAUUUUCUCAGACUGCUUGUAUGCACUGCAUCCUGCAACAGGAUUGCCACCUAGCUGGUUUUCCCUACAACAAAACUGCUUUUUCCCUCGCAGUGCUGGCUGCUGGGUUGGUCCCCACACUGACGUGCUAUUUUCCGGUUCACCCAAAAUAAACAUAAGCUGCAUUGCAAGCGUUCUGUCAGGCGUUCAUACCCAGCAGACAAAUGAAUUGUUGCCAAGCUAAUGCAUUCCUAAUUUCUCAAGCUUUCCAGAAUUUCUUUAAGCAUAUACACGUCGCUGCCAAGGCUUAUUGUUCAAUUGUUUAAGGAUUGUUUGCAGUCUAGUAAUUAAUGUACAUUGUGAAGGAAAUAACUUGCAACAACAAUAGCAUAAGGAUUAUUGAAGUGCAUGAAAUUUUAUAUGAAGCUUGUUGAUAAAUUAGUCAUGCAAAGUUGUACUCGGCGUUUCACCACUUCAUUAUUAUUUUGUUUGCAUUUUUGCAAACAAUAUUUAUCACAAAAAGAAGAAACCACCUCCUCUCAUACCCCUCCUUUUUUGGUGCCAGCUUUUUUUUUUUUUUUUUUUCAAUUAUUAUUUUGUGGAAAAGGUGUCAUCUCUAUUGGAACAAUAGCCACUGAGGUAUUUUCAUGGCAGUGAGUUAUUUACGCUGUGCUACAGUUGUGCUUCCAGAAUCAUCUACUGCGUUAAUCAUGUAUGAUGCAGCUGCUGUAAUUAGUCAUUCUCAAAGCUUUUGGGUAAUUGUGUGCAACCUUGUUUCCA